GUGUCAGCAGCCGCGGUAAUACGAAGGGUGCUAGCGUUGUUCGGAAUUACUGGGCGUAAAGCGCGCGUAGGCGGUGAUGCAAGUCAGAGGUGAAAUCCCAGGGCUUAACCCUGGAACUGCCUUUGAAACUGCAUUGCUGGAGUGUGUGAGGGGAUAGCGGAAUUCCUAAUGUAGAGGUGAAAUUCGUAGAUAUUAGGAGGAACACCGGUGGCGAAGGCGGCUAUCUGGCACACAACUGACGCUGAGGCGCGAAAGCGUGGGGAUCAAACAGGAUUAGAUACCCUCGUAGUCC
rnacentral:rRNA from 1 species